GAUGAACGCUGGCGGCGUGCCUAACACAUGCAAGUCGAGCGAAGCGGGGACGGGUGAGUAACACGUGUAUUACCUCCUUUAAGACUGGGAUAACUUCGGGAAACCGGAGCCAAACCGGCAACUUAUUGAUGGUGCCUCGCGGCAUUUGCUAGUUUGCGAGGUAACGGCUUACCAAGGCAACGAUGCAUAGCCGACCUGAGAGGAUGAACAGCCACACUGAAACUGAGACACGGUCCAGACUCCUACGGGAGGCAGCAGUGGGGAAUAUUCCGCAAGGGGCGAAAGCCUGACGGAGCCACGCCGCGUGUGUGAUGAAGGUCUUCGGAUUGUAAAACUCUGUUAGUAGGGAGGCGGUACCUAAUCAGAAAGCAACGGCUAACUCCGUGCCAGCCGCCGCGGUAAUAC
rnacentral:rRNA from 1 species